AACUGUAGAGUUAGAUGAUGAAUUGAAUGUAAACAGGGAGGUGAGAAAACAGUAGGGAGAAAAGUAAAAAGAAAGGCUAGAAUUGAGGGCUUUUCGAUGUAGAAAUCAGGGUUUUAAAACGACAGUAAUAGAGGUUUUGGGACAAAGAAAAUUAAGUCAGAGAACAUGGGCUACCACUGAAACUGAGAGAGGAAGAACAAAAAACAAAAUUAAAGCAUAAACGAAACGGAAAGGGGCUGCCACCGGCCCUAACCACGGCGAGGGUUGGCGGCUGAAGGAUUUUUCAGAUCUAGAAAAAUCAUACAGAGGUCUCUCAAAAGGAAAGAAAGUCUCUCACAACAAGAGAAAGCUAAUAUCAUAUGUCUUUACUUUAGGUUAUGUUUGGGUGUGGAUUCUAAGUUCCAAGAGAUUGAGAUCAAGCUUGCUAGUAAGGAAUGGUUAACAAAAUAUUGACAAGAAGGAUCAGAAA
rnacentral:lncRNA from 1 species